GACGAACGCUGGCGGCGUGCUUAACACAUGCAAGUCGAACGGAAAGGCCCUGCUUUUGUGGGGUGCUCGAGUGGCGAACGGGUGAGUAACACGUGAGUAACCUUCCCUUUACUUUGGGAUAACUUCAGGAAACUGGUGCUAAUACCUGAUAGGUGCUCCUGCUGCAUGGUGGGGGUUGGAACGUUUCGGCGGUUGGGGAUGGACUCGCGGCUUAUCAGCUUGUUGGUGGGGUAGUGGCUUACCAAGGCUUUGGAGGGUAGCCGGCCUGAGAGGGUGACCGGCCACAUUGGGACUGAGAUACGGCCCAGACUCCUACGGGAGGCAGCAGUGGGGAAUAUUGCACAAUGGGCGGAAGCCUGAUGCAGCAACGCCGCGUGCGGGAUGAAGGCCUUCGGGUUGUAAACCGCUUUCGCCUGUGACGAAGCGUGAGUGACGGUAAUGGGUAAAGAAGCACCGGCUAACUACGUG
rnacentral:rRNA from 1 species